rnacentral:rRNA from 1 species
UACGUAGGUGGCAAGCGUUGUCCGGAUUUACUGGGCGUAAAGGGCGUGCAGGCGGUCUGUUAAGUGCAGGGUGAAAGCUCCCGGCUCAACUGGGAGAGGUCCUUGCAUACUGGCGGACUUGAGGGGGGUAGAGGAAAGUGGAAUUCCCGGUGUAGUGGUGAUAUGCGUAGAUAUCGGGAGGAACACCGGUGGCGAAGGCGGAUCUCUGGAGAGUUCCUGACGCUGAGGCACGAAGGCCAGGGGAGCAAACGGG